AUUGAACGCUGGCGGCAGGCCUAACACAUGCAAGUCGAACGAGUGGCGGACGGGUGAGUAAUGUCUGGGAAACUGCCCGAUGGAGGGGGCUAACUACUGGAAACGGUAGCUAAUACCGCAUACCAUCGGAUGUGCCCAGAUGGGAUUAGCUAGUAGGUGGGGUACCGGCUCACCUAGGCGACGAUCCCUAGCUGGUCUGAGAGUAUGACCAGCCACACUGGAACUGAGACACGGUCCAGACGCCUACGUGAGACAGCAGUGGGGAAUAUUGCACAAUGCGCGCAAGCCGGAUGCAGCCAUGCCGCGGGUAUGAAGAAGGCCUUCGGGUGGUAGAGUACUUUCAGCGAGGAGGCGUUACUCGCAGAAGAAGCACCGGCUAACUCAGUGCCAGCAGCCGCGGUAAUAC
rnacentral:rRNA from 1 species